rnacentral:rRNA from 1 species
UGGGGAAUAUUGCACAAUGGGCGCAAGCCUGAUGCAGCCAUGCCGCGUGUAUGAAGAAGGCCUUCGGGUUGUAAAGUACUUUCAGCGGGGAGGAAGGGAGUAAAGUUAAUACCUUUGCUCAUUGACGUUACCCGCAGAAGAAGCACCGGCUAACUCCGUGCCAGCAGCCGCGGUAAUACGGAGGGUGCAAGCGUUAAUCGGAAUUACUGGGCGUAAAGCGCACGCAGGCGGUUGAUUGAGUCAGAUGUGAAAUCCCCGGGCUUAACCCGGGAAUUGCAUCUGAUACUGGUCAGCUAGAGUCUUGUAGAGGGGGGUAGAAUUCCAUGUGUAGCGGUGAAAUGCGUAGAGAUGUGGAGGAAUACCGGUGGCGAAGGCGGCCCCUUGGACAAAGACUGACGCUCAGGUGCGAAAGCGUGGGGAGCAAACAGG